rnacentral:rRNA from 1 species
CCUACGGGAGGCAGCAGUGGGGAAUAUUGCACAAUGGGGGAAACCCUGAUGCAGCGAUGCCGCGUGAGUGAAGAAGGCUUUCGGAUUGUAAAGUUCUUUUAUCAGGGACGAUAAUGACGGUACCUGAAGAAAAAGCUCCGGCUAACUACGUGCCAGCAGCCGCGGUAAUACGUAGGGAGCGAGCGUUGUCCGGAUUUACUGGGUGUAAAGGGAGAGUAGGCGGGUCGGCAAGUCUGAUGUGAAAACUGAGGGCUCAACCUUCGGACUGCAUUUGAAACUGCGGAUCUUGAGUGCAGUAGAGGGAAGCGGAAUUCCUAGUGUAGCGGUGAAAUGCGUAGAUAUUAGGAGGAACAUCGGUGGCGAAGGCGGCUUACUGGGCUUUUACUGACGCUGAGGCUCGAAAGCGUGGGGAGCAAACAGGAUUAGAUACCCCUGUAGUC